CGCCAGGUCUCCCUGGCUCUGGACACGUCCAACGUGAUGGUCAAGAAGCAGGUGUUUGAGCUGCUGGCCGCCCUGUGCAUCUACUCGC